GCGCGCGUGCGCGAGAGGGGCUUGCAAAAGGAAAUGACCGGAAGGAAGCACGCCUCUCCCGGAGCUCCUCGCACACUUCACCCUCUGUAGAAACAUCUAGACUCUGAGCACUUACGUUUAAAACUUUCCGUUCCGACAUCUUCGCUUCCUGUCCAGCGAACAAGCCAAGAAGCGGUCCUCAGCCCCCCGGUGGAGUUUCUCCGAUUCUGCGCCGCAGUGUCGCCACUUCCUCAGCCGGCUCACUGUUCACAAAGCCCCGCACCGACUGAAGAAGAAAGAUCAUCCCUACAGGUUUGGAAAUUGGAGAGGUCACGUGAAUUAUCCAGUGCUUCGGAGCAGCCCAGCACAUGCUAAACCACGCCCCCUCCCGCGCUGCUCACCUGGCGGAAGUGAGAGGCUCCUCGGCGCCGGUAGCGGAGUCGGUACUUGAGAGAGAAGAUUUCCGGGAAGGGCCAGGAAGCAGGGGGAUGCCAGAGCACCUGCAGACGCUGUCCCGCUGUGCGCAGGCGCACACCUUCCGGAGGGUCGGGCUUGACUGGUGGGAGCACGACUGGGGUCAGCGUCGGCUCUGCCGGUUCACCCCUCACACACGAAGUCUUUGUUUGUGACUCUCAUUCAUUCACAGGUUCGCUUUCACCAUCAGACAUGGAUUUGCUCCGUCCUUCCAUUCAUUCAUACUCACUCUUCAUUCGUUCACGUAUUCACUAAAUUCUUCACUAGUUCAUUCCUCUACUCAGUUACUCACCAGCUCACUCACACAUUUAUUUAUUGUUUGAUUUAAGUGCAGAUUUGUUCCUGCACUCAUUAACUCAGUCAUUUGCGCUUAUCGUUUAUACACUCACUCGUUCAGGGAUCCAUUUCCACAGUCAUUAGGUCAUUCACUGUAUCCUUUGUGAAUUCAUUCAUUCACUCCCUAAUUGAGUCAUUCAUUUGUUCAUGCACUCACUCAUGUCAUUCACUCAUUUACUCAUGUCCUUCAUGUAUUCAUUAUGUCAGUUGUGCAUUUAUUCACUUAUUCACUAAGUCAUUCAUGCAGUCCUUCAUUUAUUAAGUCAUUUGUGUUCAUGCACUCACUUAUGUCAUUAAUGCAUUCAUUCACUCAUUAUGCAUUCAUUCAUUUAUUACUAAAUCAUUUACUCAUUCACUUGAUAGCAGUCAUGCAGGCAUUCAUUUAUUCCUUUGUCUAUCUGCUCAAGGAAAAAGCAUUUGCUGAACCACUCUCAUCACUGCUGAUAGAAGGCACAACGGUCACACAGGCAAAGAAAGGUUCUGAGUGUAAGUCUCCGGUAGGCUGAAGGGCUUUUCUGAGAUGCAAUUCUGACAGCACGAGUCUCUGCUAGAAGACCCCCAGUGCAUCUGCAGAGAGCAUUUCCACCGACUUCUGGAACACUCCUUCAUGACAAUACAAGCCAUCUUCCUACCCCUCUCUGUCCUCAGCACUCACACACUUCCUGCCUCUAGACUCCUCUGGACUGCAGCCCUCAUUGUGUGGGUUGACUCUGGGUUGCUCACUGAGCGUAGAGUCCUCAAGGUUCCACCACAGGGGUUGGUGGCAGAGCCUCACUUAAUGCCCAUCUCUCCAUGGGAACACACAGGGCACCGGCCUUCUGGAUGCUGGCAAUACUCUUGCCAAGGAUUGGUAGGGAUGAACAGCUUUAUUUCUGUUGAGCAGAUCCUUAGGUUUGGAGUUGGGAGAUCAUGUGGAGACUUCAUGUUUAAACCCUUGAGAGCUGUGUAGCCUUUCACUGACCUGCAUCAGCUUUUGUUCUUGGCUUUCUUUUCUGAGACAGGUGCUCGGGAGUGACUCUGGCUUGCCUUGAACAUGAUCUGUAGAUCAGGCUGGCCUUGAAUUCUCAGAGAUCUUGCCUACCUGUACACC
ensembl:lincRNA